rnacentral:rRNA from 1 species
AUACGGAGGAUCCGAGCGUUAUCCGGAUUUAUUGGGUUUAAAGGGUGCGCAGGCGGCCAUUUAAGUCAGCGGUUAAAUCGUGGGGCUAACCCCAUUCUGCCGUUGAUACUGGGUGGCUUGAUUGCGGUCGAGGUUGGCGGAAUUCGUUGUGUAGCGGUGAAAUGCAUAGAUAUGACGAAGAACACCGAUUGCGUAGGCAGCUGACCAGACCGCAAAUGACGCUCAUGCACGAAAGUGCGGGGAUCGAACAGGAUUAGAUACCCUGGUAGUCCGCACAGUAAACGAUGAAUACUUGUUUUCGGCGAUAUAAUGUCGGAGGCAAAGCGAAAGCGAUAAGUAUUCCACCUGGGGAGUACGCCGGCAACGGUGAAACUCAAAGGAAUUGACGGGG